AGGAGCUUUCCCCCAUCAACUGUGUGAGGAAAAGGUCAUAUAAGACUGAUCAAGAGCACUUCAGGGCUUGGGUGGACUCUUCCAACCCCCCAAAGAAAAGCAUUGACCAGCACAGGAUGUGUAUCAAGUAGAAAGUUAUAAAAAAUAUCAGCCGUGUACACUUUGCAUUCUGUGUGAAUUCGAGGACAAAGAUAUAAAAGCCAUAAAGAAGUUGACCUAUGUGGAUAGCAAAUGGUUCCCUGUUCUUGGCUUGCUUCUGCCGUGAAAUGUCUGUUACUUCUCUUUUGAGCUUUGGAACAAAAUCUCGUUCUCACCUAAACUGUUACAAAAUGAGAAACAGAUGAUGGAGCCUAUUUGUGCUGGUGAGGAAAGCCCACUGAAGUGAGGAAGCAGAAAAUGGCUUACCUGGGAAAAGAAGUCUGGCUCUCAUGAAAGGGCCAUAUGGCACUGAUUUGAAUUCAGAAUGUAGAGCCAAUAUUAAUCAACUCCUUUACUAUUGAUCUAUUUAUUCAGUCCUGUGCUACUGAUUUGUAGUGAUAGCCCGUUGAAAUCGAUAGCCUUGCUUGGUAUUUCUGCAGUGCCAGGUAUGGGUGUCUAUUUGCUAGGCAUGACCAGUAUUCUUGAGAGCACUUAACUGGCUAAAGAAAUGAUGGGGAAACCAGAAUGACCAUGUGUUUUUUAUUCUAAUACAGUAAAUCCUCCCUAAUUUGCACAAAAUACUGGCUGUCCUUCUCUUCCCUCUACUAUG